rnacentral:sRNA from 1 species
AUGCGCAGGCCGAUCCAGUUCUUUUCGGCUGGAAUGGGGAAUUUGUGAGGUAGGCCGGAAGUGGUGUUGCGGAGGGAAUUGUGGGGGAGAUCAGAGGUGCAGCUCUGCUGGAGAGACCUGAGGCUUGCAACGCUGGGCCCGGCCGAGUCGCUGCGGCUGGGCUGGAGGUCAAGGAUGCAUUCCAGGAAAGUUCCAUAAAAAUAUACCAUCAACUCCAACCUGAUAUUUGACCUAGCUGUGGAAAACCUCAUUGGCUCCUCACUAGAUCAGACCAUAAAAAUGAUUCAGGAAUGAAAAUCUAAGAUAAAUUCCCACCACUUCAAGAUGUUCUUAUACAAGUCAACAGUCUAGCAGAUCAGCCAGUCUCUUUCAUCAUCAAGCAGACAUACUCAAGAAAGAGGAAUAGUGAAGUGAAAUAUACAGAAGCAUGUUCAAGUUCAUCUGUUGAAUGUGGAAUUGUGAAUAGUGACAAUAUUGAGAAAAAUACUGACUCCAAUCUGCAAACUUCAACUUCAUUUGAGCCACAUUUCAAAAAAAAAAAAAAGAAAAAUUUGAAACAUUAAGGGAAAACAGUUGGGUAAAAGAUCCAUUUGCUUUUCGAAACC